AACGUAGGACGCAAGCGUUAUCCGGAGUUACUGGGCGUAAAGCGCGGGCAGGCGGCUCGAAACGUCUGAUGUGAAAUCUCCUCGCUCAACGGGGAGAGGCCAUUGGAAACGGUCGGGCUGGAGGGCAGUAGAGGCAGGCGGAAUUCCGGGUGGAGUGGUGAAAUGGGUAGAGAUCCGGAGGAACACCAGAGGCGAAGGCGGCCUGCUGGGCUGCACCUGACGCUGAACCGCGAAAGCCAGGGGAGCGAACGGG
rnacentral:rRNA from 1 species